rnacentral:misc_RNA from 1 species
AAGUCGUAACAAGGUCUCCGUUGGUGAACCAGCAGAGGGAUCAUUGCUGGAACAAACGUCCUCACGGACGCUACCCAGAAACCCUUUGUGAACUUAUAUAACGUUGCCUCGGCAUUGGUUGGCUUCGAAUGAAGUCCCUUACAUCCCAUUUGUGGGGCCCCUACUGUUGGGGCGUGAGGAGCAGACCGGCCGACGGCCCCCUAUAAACCUUGUUUUUGUAACAUCUUCUGAGUAAACAACUAAAUGAAUCAAAA